rnacentral:rRNA from 1 species
CAGCCGUAAACUAUGCGCGUUAGGUGUAUCGGUGACCACGAGUUACCGAGGUGCCGAAGGGAAACCGUGAAACGUGCCGCCUGGGAAGUACGGUCGCAAGGCUGAAACUUAAAGGAAUUGGCGGGGGGAGCACAACAACGGGUGGAGCCUGCGGUUUAAUUGGACUCAACGCCGGACAACUCACCGGGGACGACAGCAAUAUGUAGGCCAGGCUGAAGACCUUGCCUGAAUCGCUGAGAGGAGGUGCAUGGCGUAGACGUCUU